AGCAGCCGCGGUAAUUCCAGCUCCAAUAGCGUAUAUUAAAGUUGUUGCAGUUAAAAAGCUCGUAGUUGAAUUUCGAGAUCAGAUUGUUGGUCGUGCCUUGGUACGCACUGGCAUUAUUGGUUUCUCCCUUCUGACGAACCAUGAUGUCAUUAAUUUGGUGUCUUGGGGAAUCAGGACUGUUACUUUGAAAAAUUAGAGUGUUUAAAGCAGGCUCACGCUUGAAUACAUUAGCAUGGAAUAAUGAAAUAGGACGUUUGAUUCUAUUUUGUUGGUUUCUAGGAUCGACGUAAUGAUUAAUAGGGAUAGUUGGGGGCAUUAGUAUUCAAUUGUCAGAGGUGAAAUUCUUGGAUUUAUUGAAGACUAACUACUGCGAAAGCAUUUGCCAAGGAUGUUUUCAUUAAUCAAGAACGAAAGUUAGGGGAUCGAAGACGAUCAGAUACCGUCGUAGUCUUAACC
rnacentral:rRNA from 1 species